AAUUACGUUCUUCAUUGUAUUAAAUUUAAACGGUUUUCAACGAUUUUAAAUCGUAUCCUUCGGCUUGGCUAGUUUGUCAAAAAAAGAAGAAAAUACCAAGGCGUUGGGUCAGCCCUGGAUGACAUGACACGUCACAGACGCUAACGGGCAAAUAAGCGAUGACGCCGGCCUCCGCAAGAGCUUGGAGAGAGUUCUAAGGGUUCGGAGAGUUCUGAGAGAUACUGGCGAUACCCGUGCGAUCUGCGAGAGGUGGCCCUUGCUGAGCGAACCAGACCUAUCAGGAGGCGAUACCUGCGAGAAGGCCUGGCGAGAUGAGUGAUAGCUGAGGACUGUACUGUGGCGCGGAGUGGGUGAGUGUGCGAAGGAAGCGGACAGAAGAGCAAGCCACUGUCGAACCAGGCUCCAGUGGAAAGUGUUAAUGUUUCAAUGAUCAGUGUAAGACUAGUUGUGGACAGAAUUCUUGAGUGCGGUAAUUAAAUUUAUAGUGUCGAGAUUAGUAAUAAAUAAAACUGUACUAAUUGAUUGGGCUAUCCCCU